rnacentral:rRNA from 1 species
AACGAACGCUGGCGGCGUGUUUAAGACAUGCAAGUCGCACGGGAUUAGAUGAGUAGUAAUACAAGUCUAGUCUAGUGGCGCACGGGUGAGUAACAUGUGAAUUACAUGCCCUUCAGUGGGGAAUAGCCCAGGGAACUUGGAUUAAUACCCCAUGGUAUCGCAAGAUUAAAGGUGGCCGCAAGGCUGCCGCUGAAGGAUUGGUUCGCACCCUAUCAGCUUGUUGGCGGGGUAAUGGCCCACCAAGGCUACGACGGGUACCUGGUCUGAGAGGACGAUCAGGCACACUGGAACUGAGACACGGGUCCAGACACCUACGGGUGGCAGCAGUCGAGAAUAAUUCACAAUGGGGGCAACCCUGAUGGGUGCAACGCCGCGUGGAGGAUGACGGUCUUCGGAUUGUAAACUCCUGUCAUCUGGGAGUAAGGCAUGGUCGUUAAUAGCGAACAUGAUUGAUAGUACCAGAAAGAGGAAGGGACGGCUAACUUCGUGCCAGCCGCC